rfam:Mycobacterium obuense strain TC1 Mobu_contig000179, whole genome shotgun sequence.
CCUCCAUGAUCUGCGGGCAGAUCAGGUGGACGUGACAGUCGAUGGCACCGGCGGUGACGAUGCGGCCAUUGCCCGAGAUGAUCUCGGUCGACGGCCCGACCACGAGAUCGGGGUGCACUCCCGACAUGAUGUCGGGGUUGCCGGCCUUGCCGAUCGCGACGAUACGACCGUCGCGAAUGCCGAUGUCGGCCUUGAUGAUUCCCCAGUAGUCGAGGAUCACCGCGCCGGUGAUGACGGUGUCGGGAGCGCCGUCGGCACGGGUGGCACGUGACUGCCCCAUCGACUCACGCAG